UUUUUUAUUAAUGUCAUAGUCAUUACAUAAAUUGAUUAUGUUCACAUAGCCGAAUUAAUGCAUGACAUUAAUGUGUUCACAUCAUGCCGAAUUUAUGAGUGUUCAUCAAAUGUCUUAAUGACUUGUUUAUUUCAUGUAGGUACAUCCCUUUGGACGGCACAUGCAUGUAAGGAAUUAAUGGAAGGUGCAUGCAUAGAAAGGUUCAAUGGACGGCAAUCAAGAG
rnacentral:lncRNA from 1 species